UGUACUAAUUAAUACACAUAGAGCUUACUCAGUCUAUAAAUAUCACAGACAUGGAUCCCUGGAUAACUUAAAGAAAACAUUUCUUUUUUUUUUUAAAGGAAAAGAGAUGGCAAGAAUUGGAGCUGCAAGAAUCCUCUUUCUAUUGGUUUUGAUAGUCUGCACAGCUGCAUGUCUAACUAAUAUGGAACAUGGAGCUGUGAAGGAAGAAGUGAAGUGCUCCUUAAAGACAAAAGAAACAGUGAAGUGCUGUGCAACCCUUCAUUUGGAGAAAUGUGAUCACAAGGAAAGUGCUGACAAUGAUUGUUGCAAUAGAGUGUGCUCUGAAACAUGCAAGAAGGGUGGAGAAUGCAAGCCAUGGGAACAGAAUGGGAUUUGUCAUUGUAACUGUUGAUGAAUAAUAAAUAUAUAAAAUAAAUAAAUAAAUAAAUAAAUAAAUAAAUAAAUAAAUAAA